rnacentral:rRNA from 1 species
GAUGAACGCUGGCGGCGUGCCUAAUACAUGCAAGUCGAGCGAAUGGAUUAAGAGCUUGCUCUUAUGAAGUUAGCGGCGGAUGGGUGAGUAACACGUGGGUAACCUGCCCAUAAGACUGGGAUAACUCCGGGAAACCGGGGCUAAUACCGGAUAACAUUUUGAACCGCAUGGUUCGAAAUUGAAAGGCGGCUUCGGCUGUCACUUAUGGAUGGACCCGCGUCGCAUUAGCUAGUUGGUGAGGUAACGGCUCACCAAGGCAACGAUGCGGAGCCGACCUGAGAGGGUGAUCGGCAACACGGGGACUGAGACACGGCCCAGACUCCUACGGGAGGCAGCAGUAGGGAAGCUUCCGCAAUGGACGAAAGUCUGACGGAGCAACGCCGCGUGAGUGAUGAAGGCUUUCGGGUCGUAAAACUCUGUUGUUAGGGAAGAACAAGUGCUAGUUGAAUAAGCUGGCACCUUGACGGUACCUAACCAGAAAGCCACGGCUAACUACGUGCCAGCCGCCGCAGUAA